rnacentral:rRNA from 1 species
AUUGAACGCUGGCGGCAGGCCUAACACAUGCAAGUCGAGCGGAGCGGCGGACGGGUGAGUAAUGCUUAGGACUCUGCCUGGUAGUGGGGGAUAACGUCCGGAAAUGGGCGCUAAUACCGCAUACUAUCAGAUGAGCCUAGCCCGGAUUAGCUAGUUGGUGGGGUAAAGGCCUACCAAGGCGACGAUCCGUAACUGGGCUGAGAGGAUGAUCAGUCACACUGGAAAUGAGACACGGUCCAGACUCCUACGGGAGGCAGCAGUGGGGAAUAUUGGACAAUGGGCGAAAGCCUGAUCCAGCCAUGCCGCGUGUGUGAAGAAGGUCGUCGGAUUGUAAAGCACGUUAAGUUGGGAGGCGUUACCAACAGAAUAAGCACCGGCUAACUUCGUGCCAGCCGCCGCGGUAAUUC